rnacentral:snRNA from 1 species
UUAACUUUUGGCUAAGAUCAAGUGUAGUAUCUGUUCUUAUCAGUUUAAUAUCUGAUACGUCCUCUAUCCGAGAACAACAUAUUAAAUGUAUUUUUGGAGUUGGGAGAUGGAAUAGGAGCUUGCUCCAUCCAUUCCACGCAACUUCGAGGAACGGUACACCCCCUCGGGAUACAAUUCAU